UACGGAGGGUGCAAGCGUUGCUCGGAAUUAUUGGGCGUAAAGGGCGCGUAGGCGGCCUGGCAAGUGGAAGGUGAAAUCCCUCGGCUUAACCGAGGAACUGCCUCCCAAACUGCUUGGCUUGAGACCGGGAGAGGUGAGUGGAAUUCCCAGUGUAGCGGUGAAAUGCGUAGAUAUUGGGAGGAACACCAGUGGCGAAGGCGGCUCACUGGACCGGUACUGACGCUGAUGCGCGAAAGCGUGGGGAGCAAACGGG
rnacentral:rRNA from 1 species